rnacentral:rRNA from 1 species
ACGGGGUGCAGCAGGCGCGAAAACUUUGCAAUAAGCGAAAGCUUGACAGGGCUAUCCCGAGUGCCAUCCGCUGAGGAAGGCUUUUACCCAGUCUAGUAAGCUGGGGGAAUAAGGAGAGGGCAAGUCUGGUGUCAGCCGCCGCGGUAAUACCAGCUCUCCGAGUGGUGUGGAUGUUUAUUGGGCCUAAAGCAUCCGUAGCUGGCUGAGUUAGUCCCCUGUUAAAUCCACCGAAUCAAUCGUUGGAUUGCGGGGGAUACUGCUCGGCUAGGGGACGGGAGAGGCAGACGGUAUUUCCGGGGUAGGGGUGAAAUCCUAUAAUCCCGGGAAGACCACCAGUGGCGAAGGCUGUCUGCUAGAACGCGCCCGACGGUGAGGGAUGAAAGCUGGGGUAGCGAACCGGAUUAGAUACCCGGGUAGUCCCAGCUGUAAACGAUGCAGGCUAGGUGUUUGGGCGGCCACGUGCCGCUCUAGUGCCGCAGGGAAGCUGUUAAGCCUGCCGCCUGGGGAGUACGAUCGCAAGAUUGAAACUUAAAGGAAUUGGCGGGGGAGCAC